GCCGGGAGUCGUGGCGCGCUCCUGUAAUCCAGCUCCAGGAGGCCUGGUUCGGGGACGGCCCCGGUUCGGGGUUUGGGCCCCGCGGCGUGUCCGUGCCGACAGGCGUCCGCGCUAAGCGGGGGCGUCGAUAUGGCGGGCCCGGGGAGCCCGGGGCGGCCAGGUCGCCUAAGGAGGAGCGCACCGGCCCAGGGUGGAAACGCAGCAGGCAGAAGCUCCCGCGUCCCGCAGUAGCGG
rnacentral:SRP_RNA from 1 species